GCUCAUCCUCGGCCAAUCUUGGAACAACUUAGUAAGCUCUAUAAAUUUAGUUUCAUAUUCCACAACUAUCAUAUUUCUUUAAUUCAAAUAAAUAAAUUCUUGUUCUUUCUAAAUCCUUACACUCCAAAAAAAAUACUGAUCAUAAAAUAUCCUUCAAAAUCUCUCUUAGAUAAAUUGCUCCUCAUCUUGUUUGUUUAUGUGAGCUCUGCCACC
rnacentral:lncRNA from 1 species